AGCGCAGGCGGUUUCUUAAGUCUGAUGUGAAAGCCUUCGGCUCAACCGAAGAAGUGCACCGGAAACUGGGAAACUUGAGUGCAGAAGAGGACAGUGGAACUCCACGUGUAGCGGUGAAAUGCGUAGAUAUAUGGAAGAACACCAGUGGCGAAGGCGGCUGUCUGGUCUGUAACUGACGCUGAGGCUCGAAAGCAUGGGUAGCAAACA
rnacentral:rRNA from 1 species